rnacentral:rRNA from 1 species
GUCUACAAACAUACCACCCUGAACAAGCUUGAUCUCGUCUGAUCUCGGAAGCUAAGCAGGGUCAGGCCUGGUUAGUACUUGAAUGGGAGACCACCUAGGAAGACCAGGUGCUGUAGGCA